AAGUNUGAUGUGAGAGCCCCCGGCUCAACCGGGGAGGGUCAUUGGAAACUGGGGAACUUGAGUGCAGAAGAGGAGAGUGGAAUUCCAUGUGUAGCGGUGAAAUGCGUAGAUAUAUGGAGGAACACCAGUGGCGAAGGCGACUCUCUGGUCUGUAACUGACGCUGAGGCUCGAAAGCGUGGGUAGCAAAUAGGAUUAGAUACCCUGGUAGUNCACGCCGUAUACGAUGAGUGCUAAGUGUUGGAGGGUUUCCGCCCUUCAGUGCUGCAGUUAACGCAUUAAGCACUCCGCCUGGGGAGUACGACCGCAAGGUUGAAACUCAAAGGAAUUGACGGGGACCCGCACAAGCGGUGGAGCGUGUGGUUUAAUUCGAAGCAACGCGAAGAACCUUACCAAGUCUUGACAUCCUUUGACCACUCUAGAGAUAGAGCUUUCCCUUCGGGGACAAAGUGACAGGUGGUGCAUGGUUGUCGUCAGCUCGUGUCGUGAGAUGUUGGGUUAAGUCCCGCAACGAGCGCAACCCUUAUUACUAGUUGCCAGCAUUCAGUUGGGCACUCUAGUGAGACUGCCGGUGACAAACCGGAGGAAGGUGGGGAUGACGUCAAAUCAUCAUGCCCCUUAUGACUUGGGCUACACACGUGCUACAAUGGAUGGUACAACGAGCAGCGAACUCGCGAGGGUAAGCGAAUCUCUUAAAGCCAUUCUCAGUUCGGAUUGUAGGCUGCAACUCGCCUACAUGAAGCCGGAAUCGCUAGUAAUCGCGGAUCAGCACGCCGCGGUGAAUACGUUCCCGGGUCUUGUACACACCGCCCGUCACACCACGAGAGUUUGUAACACCCAAAGUCGGUGAGGUAACCAUUNGGAGCCAGCCGC
rnacentral:rRNA from 1 species